rnacentral:rRNA from 1 species
CACGUGAGCAACCGUGUCCUUUGGUGGUGGGGGAGUAGCCGGGCUAACGCCCGGGUAAUACCGCAUACGGUCCGUUGGGGGAGUCCCUGGCGGAAGAAACCUGAGGGGCACAGAGAGGGGCUCGCGGCCUAUCAGCUAGUUGGUGUGGGUAAUGGCCCACCAAGGCGACGACGGGUAGCUGGUCUGAGAGGAUGGCCAGCCACAUUGGGACUGAGAAACGGCCCAG